rnacentral:rRNA from 1 species
GAUGAACGCUGGCGGCGUGCCUAAUACAUGCAAGUCGAGCGAACCACUUCGGUGGUGAGCAGCGAACGGGUGAGUAACACGUAGGUGAUCUGCCCAUCAGACGGGGACAACGAUUGGAAACGAUCGCUAAUACCGGAUAGGACGAAAGUUUAAAGGUGCUUCUGGCACCGCUGAUGGAUGAGCCUGCGGCGCAUUAGCUAGUUGGUAGGGUAAAGGCCUACCAAGGCGACGAUGCGUAGCCGACCUGAGAGGGUGAACGGCCACACUGGGACUGAGACACGGCCCAGACUCCUACGGGAGGCAGCAGUAGGGAAUCUUCGGCAAUGGGCGAAAGCCUGACCGAGCAACGCCGCGUGAAUGAUGAAGGCCUUCGGGUUGUAAAAAUUCUGUUAUAAGGGAAGAACGACUUUAGUAGGAAAUGGCUAGAGUGUGACGGUACCUUAUGAGAAAGCCACGGCUAACUACGUGCCAGCCGCCGCAGUAA